AAAUAAACACUUGAAAAAACAAUUAAUUAAUGAAAAACCCUAACUAAGCAUCUCCAACAAAGCAAAGCAACAAUAAAAUUAACCCUUUCUCUCUUCCUCUUCAUCAUCAUCGCUCACACUAUCCAUCAAAUUUGAUUUUCUUUCUUCCCUAAAACUUCCAACAAUCGAGCAAAAAGGAUUCACAUCUUCAAUCUCAAUUCUCAAAUAAGCAAAAUCAAAGUGUCAACCUCAAAUCCUCAAUCUUGAGAUUGAAAAUCUAAGGUAAAGUGAGUAUUUCAAUUUUUCGAUAUUCUAUUCUCUUUUUUUCAGCUGAACCCUAAAACCCCAAUUUGUUAAAACUUCUAUUUUCUCAAUUCCUUUAUAAUCAAUUGGUGUGAAGAACAAUAGUAUUUAGUUGUGAUUUUCAUCUGUUAUGUUCCGUAGGUUAUUGUAUGUCUUGGAUUUGUUCAUCUAACUUUGAUAGUGUGUUUUUGGUGUUGGUGAUAUGGUUAUUUGUUUGGGUAGUGUCCUGCUCCUGCUAUAUUAUGCAAGUGUUAAUAUGAGUUCCACUCUUUGAAGCACGGUGUCGGACACCGACACUUAUAGUUACAUUGAAUUGUGUUAUUUUUUCAAAUUAUUAUCGGUGUCGACGUGUCAGUGUCCGUGCUUCAUAAGUUCCACUAGACCUCACUGAAUUAUAAUUUCAAAGUUAGAAGAAUUGCAUUAUGAUAUGGUCACGGGUUUGGAUGUGAAAUUGGCUUAGACUCACAGUGCAUUGUUUCGUCCUUCAACUUCAAUUGGCACUUGUUGCUUGUGCUAAGACUCACAAAAAUGUUAGUGGUUUUUUAAGUAAGGUCAAUAUGCAUGUUAAUUUCAUACGAUCUUCUAAUAAGAGACAAGAAUUGCUUUGAGACAAACAAUUAACUUAGUUCGCUAAAUUUCUUUCAUGUUUAGCCACACUAGUAGUAUUAAAUGUCUGGAUCCGCCCCUGCUGAUUUCAUAAGCUAUAUUGGAAAACUGAAAGAAAAAAGAAAAAACUUAUUUUUCAUUAGUCAUGCCAAACAGUCUCACAAAACUUAUGUCAGUAGAUAAGAUCAAAUAAGUCAAUC
rnacentral:lncRNA from 1 species